AUGCCUGCUGAUGGCCUGGCUGCUUGGACACGAUUUUCCAUGAUGGAAGACAACGCAAGGAGCAUCACUGCGGCUGCAGCACAGCACACUCCUGCCUGUUUGCAGGCUAAUGUCACUACACCUCCCAUCAUCUGUGCAGCACAAAAACAGGACCAGAAGCACAAAAACAGGACCAGAGUCCUACGUGGGGAUGGGAUGAGGAAACAGCCUACCCAUCCACAAACACAGCCAUCUCUGCCUGAAGGAUGUAGCCCCAGGACAGGAUGCAACCAGGGAAGUAGAAAGCCAACAGUUCAUGAAUAUUUUGCAGGCAGACUUGAAGACAUUUUUAAGUUCUAAUGGAAAAUAAUAUUUGAUACUUUGCAAGUUAAUAAUAAUGCAUUUUAUCUAUGUGACUUUUUCUGCAAGGCAGGCAAUGAUAUCACAUUAUUGAUGGUGUUCUUUCUACUCUGUCCAAUGUCCUUAUUUGCCCCAUUUCCCAUCUCUUAUCCCAAUCACUCAUUAAUUGCUCACUUAUUCAGGCACAUAGUUAAAUGGACAAGAAUACAGAUCAGUUGGACUUUGAAAAUCAAGUUGUUUGUAUUUAAUUUAUUUUCACCUGUGAAGUGAUAUUGCUUGAAAGUGGAUGCUUCCACAGUGAAUUUCCUCUGUCACACUUCCCCAAAGAAGAGACUUCUACCCACAAUAUUUCACCACCUUGUGUAUCUGCACAGGCGCUGGCUAUUGAACAGAGGCUGUACUUGCAGCAGGGCACAAAAUAUUAUAUUCAGCACACUGAAUUUUUUUUUAAAUUAUCAUGUCCUGAGAAGUUCCCUGAACAUUCUUAAAAUAGAUUUUUCCAUCAUUUAGGGUCUCAUGCAGAACCCUGGCUGAUGAGGUCUGGGAGUCUGCUGUUAAUUUUCUCAUUGGGAGGUGUUUUUACAGCAGCUUUCAGCACUCGUGAGUUUUGUGCUCUUUCUAAAACACUGAUUAAACUUCCAACAGCAAACUGCAUGAGGAGAUGAACACCCUCUUGAUGGGUCCCAUUGAUCCCCUAAAAUCAGCACUAAAUCCAGACUCUCCCAUGGUCUGCUUUUGUCAAUAUGGUGCCAUGGCAAGGAUCAAAGAUGUUCACGUUCCCAGCUAUGCCAUGAUUGAGAAGUUCUGGGUUCAGGACAGAUUCACAGAAUCACAGAUUCACAGAAUCACAGAAUCACUGGGUGAGAAGUUCUGGGUUCAGGACAGAUUCACAGAAUCACAGAAUCACUGGGUUUGAAGAGACCUUCAAGAUCAUCAAGUCCAACCCAUGCCCUAACACCUCAACUCGACCAUGGCACCAAGUGCCACAUCCAGUCUUUUUUUAAACACAUCCAGGGAUGGUGACUCCAACACCUCCUGGGCAGACCAUUCCAGUACUUGGUCACUCUUUCUGUGAAAAACGUUUUCCUAAGAUCCAACCUGUUCUCCCCUGGUGCAGCUUGAGACUGUGUCCUCUGGUUCUGUCAGUGCUGCCUGGUGAUCUGAGGGAGUUUUUGUCUCAGGUGAGUGUGUAUCUCAGGAAUACAUCGCUCUGCCUGCGUGUGUGCCAGCUCUGAGCCCUGGCCAUGACGUACACGGAGGAGCAAUGCUGGGACAGGGCUGGGGAAUGCCGAGGAUGCCACAACAGGAAACACGGAGACAUAACAUGUCCAAGUGGGGUAACUGAGGCAGACAGAGCAGGAAUGUGAUUAUGUGACCCUGCAGGAUUUGGCUGGGACGCCGGGGAGUGCUGAGCUCAUCCCCCGUCAGAGGGAGGAAGAGAGAGUGGAGCAGCUCUUGCUGUUUGUGUUUUAUCACAGAGAACCCAAAGGCAUCAGCAAACAUUGUGGUUUGGGCAAGGAUGGGUUCCAGCACAUUCCCCAGCUCCUGCUCUGUGUCCCAAAAUCCGGCUAGCACGGGGAGAGAGAGCAAGUGAAAGUUUCCAGGGUGUAGGAGGGGGAGCCUUCCAAGGCUUGCCAGGAAGCCAGCAGAUGCCAGAGGGUCAGGUUAAUUCAGUGCCCUUUUAUGAGCUCAUUCUUCAAUGUGAUCAGGAGUUUUCCUUUGAAAGAGUUUCAGGUUUUGAACUUGAAAAUACAACUUUCUCCAAAAUAAAACUGUCCCUGGGCACAAAAAAAAAAAAAAAAGUUUUGGUGUCAGCUAAUGCAAAUAGUCCCUUGCCAGUUUCAGCUCUGGGGAAUCUUGCACCAAAAAUAUUUUAGGUUCAGUAACAGUAUUAUGAAUAUAGAGAACAUGGAGUAAAAAGAGCUUGAGACACUGUUAAUAAACCAUCUGAGUGUUCUUUUCUAGGUUUUGUAGGUAUCUUAAGUGUUUUAUAUGAAGCUCUGAGGAAACAAAACUACCAGUCCAUCUGUGUAACAUGGCUUUCUCAUUCUUCUUCUUUCUCAGCCCAGUUUGGGAUUAUUCCUAUCAGCCCCUUUACAUUUUAUGCUCAACUUCCCAAGCUCCAUCACUUUAUUAGAAAACAACCGUGUCCAGCAACACUGGCAAGAGUAGGAGCAGAUCUGAGGUGCUCACAGAAAAGCUGGGAACAAAAUUUUCAAAAGAUUGGAAAAUAGUUCUCAUAGCAACUGGUUUGGGCCACUACCUGAAGCACACCUCAUGGUAGAUCAGAAUCAAUAAAGGGGACCUCAUCAAAACUACUUUGCCUCCCAGAUAUAUCUCCUUUGAAUGAUUCCUGCUUUUCCCAGGUUGAAUACUGCUUAUUGAUUAAAUCAAGGUAGCUUUUUACCUCCUACCUGGCAAUAUUGCAAAUCUCACAUGGGUAUCUGAGCAAGAAAUGAAAUUGCUUCCACUCUUCUACGCAAUUCAGAAGUCAGGAUGUUUGUUUAAGUUUCUAAACUAUAUGGACCAUGUCAGAACUCUGAGCUCUGAACUCUGCUGGAAUUUCUGAAAUGGUUGAUUAUGGGUUUCAGUUCACAUUGGAGAGGAGGGUUCAGGUGACUCUUGGUGCAUUUGGUGCAUUCAUAUUCCUGUCCUUUUCCUUCCUGGUUUUAAUCUGUCACCUGCCAAAAACAUGCUGAGGUCAGGAUUCAGCUGGUGGCCUGCCUGGUGGGAGAAGCAAAAACUUGCCUGAACUUCCCUUUUAGCUUUGCCUGAUCUUGGGAGUGCUGACUUUAGUGAAAACUUGUUUUUAUCAAUCUUCAAAGCUGCUUGCUUGUUACUCAAGGGGCAGAGAGGCAGUAGACUCCAGCUGGUUAAAGCCACUUCUCUGACCACAGCCGUGAGUACUCUGAGUCCUUUUCCCAGGAGGGGCUGAGCCAGGUGGAGGUGAGGGAAGGCAGGAGAGGCUGCAGUGUGCCUGUGUCCCCAGCUGAGUUCAGCCAGGCAGCUGAACUGCUUUACAGUAGCCCUGAAGCGUCUCUCCCUGCUGACAGCUGAAGCUGCUGCUGCACUGGGCCAAGCGCUGCCUUUGCCCAAGCACCAGUCAGUUUGGCCAAGAUCUAAGGCAGCCCUUGAGGCCAGGCUCAGAGAGGCAGGGUUGUGCCCAGCUGUGCAGCCCUUCAGCACAGAGCCAGCAUUUACAGCCCUGACCACAGCCGUGCUCCUGCACACAAUAGCCAAGGAAACCUGCAAGAGCCGUAGGCUUGAAACAUGCCCAUGGGGAAGAGGAUUCUCCUCUGGCUCAUUAACUCCUGAAAAGACUUUAACCAGGGCCAGCUUGCAAAAAAAACCCCAACCCAAGCUCAGUAACACAGAGACAAGAAGACAGCCUGUUAGUUAUAACUAGUGUAUUUAGCUAAUUUCCUAACCAUUGUCUAACCACUCUUAUUAAUGGUUAAACACUCUCUGUGUCAUUGUUUGCUGUUUCUGGCCAAUUCAAGCUCUUUCAAGUGGGAGGAAGAGUGAAGCAUGGAGGGAAACCAGCACCAAAGGCCUGCUUGUAUUUUACAAGACACCCAAUUAAAUGGCACCUCAGGUUACCUAUAAGUGUCAUUUGCUUUCCUGUUAAGGGAUAUUUAUUAGUAUUCAGAAAUGCAUGAAUGAGCAAGGUUCUUAACCUCGCCUUGAGACUGGUGAAUGAGUAUUGUGCUUAACUCCCAUCCUUCUUAUUUAUGUGUUAUCUUUCCCUUAUCUCCACAGUAUCAGAGAGCUUCAGUUUUCUGCUUGUUUAUCUCCAUGGAGUCCUGAGGACUUCUUAAAAGAAUGAGAUGUGACUAACUCGUCCCAAGCCACACAAGAAGCUGGUGGCAGCACAGAGGAGUGAUGAUUUGUUGGCAGGGCAGGUGGGUGACCAUGAAGUCUAGAGCACCUCAAAUGUCACAUUUUUUGGAAGGCCCCUGCCCUUCUUGCAUGGGAGGGGUGGA
rnacentral:lncRNA from 1 species